rnacentral:rRNA from 1 species
UCCGUAGAGGGGACCUGCGGAAGGAUCAUUA